GAUGAACGCUGGCGGCGUGCUUAACACAUGCAAGUCGAACGAUGAAGCCCAGCUUGCUGGGUGGAUUAGUGGCGAACGGGUGAGUAACACGUGAGUAACCUGCCCUUAACUCUGGGAUAAGCCUGGGAAACUGGGUCUAAUACCGGAUAGGAGCGCCUACCGCAUGGUGGGUGUUGGAAAGAUUUAUCGGUUUUGGAUGGACUCGCGGCCUAUCAGCUUGUUGGUGAGGUAAUGGCUCACCAAGGCGACGACGGGUAGCCGGCCUGAGAGGGUGACCGGCCACACUGGGACUGAGACACAGCCCAGACUCCUACGGGAGGCAGCAGUGGGGAAUAUUGCACAAUGGGCGAAAGCCUGAUGCAGCGACGCCGCGUGAGGGAUGACGGCCUUCGGGUUGUAAACCUCUUUCAGUAGGGAAGAAGCGAAAGUGACGGUACCUGCAGAAGAAGCACCGGCUAACUACGUG
rnacentral:rRNA from 1 species